rnacentral:rRNA from 1 species
CAAGGCAGACGGCUCAGUAACGCGUAGUCAAUCUACCCUAUGGGCGGGAAUAACCUCGGGAAACUGAGAAUAAUGCCCGAUAGAACAUUAUGCCUGGAAUGGUUUAUGUUUCAAAUGAUUUAUCGCCAUAGGAUGGGACUGCGGCCUAUCAGUUUGUUGGUGAGGUAAUGGCCCACCAAGACUAUUACAGGUACGGGCUCUGAGAGGAGUAGCCCGGAGAUGGGUACUGAGACACGGACCCAGGCCCUAUGGGGCGCAGCAGGCGAGAAAACUUUGCAAUGUGCGAAAGCACGACAAGGUUAAUCCGAGUGGUUUCUGCUAAAGAAACCUUUUGUCAGUCCUAGAAACACUAACGAAUAAGGGGUGGGCAAGUUCUGGUGUCAGCCGCCGCGGUAAAACCAGCACCUCAAGUGGUCAGGAUGAUUAUUGGGCCUAAAGCAUCCGUAGCUCGUUUUGUAAGUUUUCGGUUAAAUCCAUGCGCUUAACGUAUGGGCUGCCGGGAAUACUGCAUAACUAGGAAGUGGGAGAGGUAGACGGUACUCGGUAGGAAGGGGUAAAAUCCUUUGAUCUAUUGAUGACCACCUGUGGCGAAGGCGGUCUACCAGAACACGUUCGACGGUGAGGGAUGAAAGCUGGGGGAGCAAACCGGAUUAGAUACCCGGGUAGUCCCAGCUGUAAACUAUGCAAACUCAGUGAUGCAUUGGCUUAUGGCCAAUGCAGUGCUGCAGGGAAGCCGUUAAGUUUGCCGCCUGGGAAGUACGUACGCAAGUAUGAAACUUAAAGGAAUUGGCGGGGGAGCACCACAAGGGGUGAAGCCUGCGGUUCAAUUGGAGUCAACGCCGG